ensembl:snRNA U6 U6 spliceosomal RNA
GUGCUCGCUUCGGCAGCACGUAUACUAAAAUUGGAAUGAUACAGAGAUUAGCAUGGCCCCUGGGCAAGGAUGACACACAAAUUCGUGAAGCAUUCCACAUCAAA